UUUCUAUAACAAACUGUCUUAAUAUCUAUCUUUUUGUUGACAUCUUUCCUAAUUGAGAUAUCUGAAGAAGGUGGGACAUAAAUGGUAGAUGUACGUCUUUCAUUUGCCAGGAAAGUACAUAGAGUAUACUUCACUGGCUUUCAUAUAUUAAAUAGAGCUAGGAGUCUUCAAUUUUCAAUCAAUAUUUAGUAGUGCAGACAUUCUGUAAUCUUGACAGAAGCAAAAUAAUUUAAAAAGUUUUAAAGAAACUUAAAAGUUUUAUUGAAUGCUAAUAAAAUACUCUUUUGAAAUACAUGUUGCUUAGAUCUUCUUGGUUCAUUUUUCUUAUUUGGCAAAAGAAGACAAUUGGAUUAUAUGAUCUUCAAGAUCCUGCCAAGAGCAAUAUUAUUUUCAGCAUUAUGAAAAAACACUUGCAACUUUUCCAGCUUUUAGUAGCUUCUUUCCUUUUUUGUUUUUGUCACUCUAGCUCCAGACAAUUUUUACAGUAUAAAAUAUUAAUAUAACCAUGGUUGAUGGCUUCCAAUAUGCUUAUAAGUUUAUACAUCUUCCUGUUUAAUGGCAUCGGUUUCGUUCAACAGUGUUGGAAAUUUGGGAGGAGGAGGUUAUAAAACCAAGUCUCAUUAGUUAUUCUAGAGUCUGCUUCAUAUUAGUCUGUGAUUUUUUAGGUGUUCAUGCUUAUCUCUUUCUGAAGUGGAUGGAAAUUAUAUUCUCUUACUUGUACCUACAAAACAUAUCACCUCCCAGCAAAAGACAUGUUAUUGAUAUCUUGCUGACAGGAAGAAUGGUUUGUGUUGACGAUAACCACUUCCUGUACCCUGAUCCGACCAUUUAUCCUUUGGGUGCCACCUCUCAUGGCUUCUAUAGGCUUGCUGGGCACAUUUAAAAAUGGCCAUUCUGUCAACCUUUUUAUGUGGUGAGGACAUCCAGACUGCUACACUUACCAAAUACAGAAAAUGGCACUGGCAAUAGCACAAAAGUCACCUCUGUUCUGACUCAGCUGUGGCCAAUGACACAAGCUAAAAACACGUGAGAAAACUGCUGCUUGUCUUGGGAAGAUACACACAUUCUAAAGAAAGAAAGCUAUUUUGGAAAUUCUGGAUGUGACAAUCUUUCUUGUUCACACUCAGUAAACACAUUAGUUGAAUUCCUCUGAUUGUCAAUUAGCAAUGGUUUUGCCAAGAAUACUGGUAUUGAUGCUGUUUUUAGCACUGAAAAAUCCUGUGGGAGAAAUGAGGAAUUUAACACAUUGUAGGUGUUAAGAUUCCUGGGUGUCUGACAGUAUCCCUGGAACCAUUAUCAUUAAUUAACUUUUCAAUCAGAAAGGCAAACUACUUUGCUGUUAGGCUUCCAGAUGAGGUUUUUUGAAAAAACAGUAAGAUAAUAAAGGCUUGGAUUGCUCCUACUUCCUGAGGCAAGUCACAUCUCAUAUUAUUCAGAACUUGGACUGAAGAGCUCAUAGGGCAAGUGAGGCCAAGGUCAGGAGUCUUCAGACAUCUUGGGCCAAGUGCCAUUCUAGAAGAAAUGAUUCUCUUCCUCAGUCACCAUCUAUCUAUGCCCCCAGGUUUGACUCGCUCUUUUCCCAAGGAGUGCUGUUCUUGCCCACUUAGUUACAAUUAACAGCAAAGACCACUGUUUUCAUCUCCACACACUCCUUGUUAUUUGGUGAGGUG
rnacentral:lncRNA from 1 species